rnacentral:rRNA from 1 species
UACGGGGGGAACGAGCGUUGUUCGGAUUUACUGGGCGUAAAGGGCACGCAGGUGGGAAAGAAAGUCAGGUGUGAAAUCCCGAGGCUUAACUUCGGGACUGCAUUUGAUACUUCUUUUCUUGAGUACGAGAGAGGAUGGCGGAAUUCUUGGUGUAGCGGUGAAAUGCGUAGAUAUCAAGAAGAACACCGGUGGCGAAGGCGGCCAUCUGGCUCGAUACUGACGCUCAUGUGCGAAGGCCGGGGGAGCAAACAGG